GUAAGUGAUGAAUGAUAAUAAUAAUCAUAGGUGUGUGUUGUGGUUUAAAUGUUUGUUGUAGACAUAGAUGUUGGUGGUGUAGGGUUUGUACGGGUCAAAACUGAAGAGCUCCAGAAGGAAUCCCUAAAUGCAAAUGUGCUAUCCUGUUUCUAUUUGUGGGUAGUGGACCUUGUGCUACGGAUCAUCACAAAAAUUACUACUCUAGUGAAUCGAAG
rnacentral:lncRNA from 1 species